GAUGAAGAACGUAGCGAAAUGCGAUAAGUAAUGUGAAUUGCAGAAUUCAGUGAAUCAUCGAAUCUUUGAACGCACCUUGCGCCCUUUGGCUAUUCCGAAGGGCAUGCCUGUUUGAGUAUCAUGAACACCUCAACUCUCAUGGCUUGCCAUGAUGAGCUUGGACUUUUGGGGGUCUUGCUGGCCUGUGGUCAGCUCCUCUCAAAUGAAUUAGCCUGCCAGUGUUUGGUGGCAUCACAGGUGUGAUAACUAUCUACGCUUGUGGUUUUCCACCAGGUAACCUUCAGUGAUGAAGGUUCGCUGGGGCUCAUAAACGUCUCUCCUCAGUGAGGACAGAUCUUUGAACGUUUGAUCUCAAAUCAGGUAGGACUACCCGCUGAACUUAAGCAUAUCAAUAAGCGGAGGA
rnacentral:misc_RNA from 1 species